rfam:Macaca mulatta chromosome 19, whole genome shotgun sequence.
AUCUACAACCAUAUCACCCUGAUCCCAGAAGCUAAGCAAGGUCGGCCUCAGACAGGACUUGGAUGGGAAACCGCCUGGGAAUACUGGAGGUGGUAGGCU